rnacentral:rRNA from 1 species
GAUGAACGCUGGCGGCGUGCUUAACACAUGCAAGUCGAACGGUGAAGCCAAGCUUGCUUGGUGGAUCAGUGGCGAACGGGUGAGUAACACGUGAGCAACCUGCCCUGGACUCUGGGAUAAGCGCUGGAAACGGCGUCUAAUACUGGAUAUGAGCCUCUAUCGCAUGGUGGGGGUUGGAAGGAUUUUUCGGUCUGGGAUGGGCUCGCGGCCUAUCAGCUUGUUGGUGAGGUAAUGGCUCACCAAGGCGUCGACGGGUAGCCGGCCUGAGAGGGUGACCGGCCAAACUGGGACUGAGACACGGCCCAGACUCCUACGGGAGGCAGCAGUGGGGAAUAUUGCACAAUGGGCGGAAGCUUGAUGCAGCAACGCCGCGUGAGGGAUGACGGCCUUCGGGUUGUAAACCUCUUUUAGUAGGGAAGAAGCGAAAGUGACGGUACCUGCAGAAAAAGCACCGGCUAACUACGUGCCAGCAGCCGCAGUAACAC